GGAAGAUUUAUCUGUAACUAGAAGUGCGGCGAUGUUUUCGUCCCCUAAUCCCCUAGACUCCCUAGAGCCUUCAACACGUAUGAACGGAUCAAAGUCACAACGACUGCGUUUUAUUUUUAGGAACGCAUUAUAAACGAGUUUUUCGUCAAAUUCAAAGCAAUUCUUGGACGAUAGUAAUUUCGAAGAAACUAUCAAUUUGGCUGAAGAAAAAUUAAAAGGAAACGAACCAAAGAAAUAAACAGAUAAUAAAACGCAAUAAAGGAAAAAGAAAAGAAAUUAAAAAAAAGGAAAAACAAGGCUGAGGCUAUCAACCGUCUUAUAAAGCCAAAAUUAAAUAAAUCGAAAUGUGCGGAAGAAAAAUGUUUAUGUCCUAACUUCGUAGCAUGGAUUCGAAGAUUAUUUGAAGAUUAAACUUGUUUAUUUUAGUUAUUUGAAUUUAUUUUAUUUUGG